rnacentral:rRNA from 1 species
CGCGUAGGCGGCGGACCUUGUCGAGUGUGAAAGCCCCGGGCUCAACCUGGGAGGUGCGCUCGAGACGGGUUUGCUGGAGUUCGGGAGAGGAGAGUGGAAUUCCCAGUGUAGAGGUGAAAUUCGUAGAUAUUGGGAAGAACACCGGUGGCGAAGGCGGCUCUCUGGACCGAGACUGACGCUGAGGCGCGAAAGCGUGGGGAGCAAACAGGAUUGGAUACCCUGGUAGUCCACGCUGUAAACGAUGUGUGCUAGACGUUGGGGAGCGUAGCUCUUCGGUGUCGCCGCAAACGCUUUAAGCACACCGCCUGGGGAGUACGGCCGCAAGGUUAAA